rnacentral:lncRNA from 1 species
GCAUGUUCCCUCUCCAGGGGAAGAGGUGCGGGACACCGCCAAGUCCAACAAGUGCCGGUGAAGAGCGAUGAAUUACAUAACACGGGAGGGAAGCCAAAAAACUCAUCCGGCUCUUAACCCCUCGCAAGCCACGGUUCCCCUGCCCCUCUCCCUUUCUCCCAACCAGGGGGGCUUCUGCCCCAGCCCCGGUCCUGGCCCCAGAGGGCCUCCCCGAGACGAGGCACUCACCGAUGGUGGUGAUGACCGUGAUGGCAAAGUAGAAGGAGCCGGCGAAUUUCCACUGGACACCGGCCCGGUGCGGCUCGGACUGCAUGAUCACCAACUCCAGCUGCCGGUAGUCCUCGCUGGUGAUGUUGUACUUUCCUUUGAGCCGGAUCUCCUCGGCUUUGAGUUUCUCCUCCUCCCGCAUCUCGUUGUCGGACUCCAGGGCAUCAAAGACGGCAGCCCCGACCAGCAGGUCAUAAAGAAACCAAUUUCUUUCUCUUGAAACUGUGGCUCAAAGAUGGUCAGAGCGGCAGCUCUGGUUGAGGGCCAAGGUUCAUUUAACCCAGAACUCUCUUUUCUGCAUAGGCUGUAGCAGACAUGAAGGAGAAAUAUGAACAGAACAAGUAUGUGUGAUUCUUUUUCAGCUCCGUAAGUAUUCUCCCAACCCCAGACUAUUUUAUUUCAGGGGAUAUUCUGAGGCUCAGUUCAUUGCUCUAUUUAGUGACCCAUGAUGGAUCUUUCUCUCAAGCACUUCUCCUCUCUCUCCUGAAUCCAGCUAAAAUUUUUGCAUCCUCAGCAAAAAUUCUCAUCCUCUCCUAAGGAGGAGUUCAACAGAUCUGUUAUUCAAAGCAGGAGGAGUACUCCCUUUUCUUUGUUCAGACUUCCUUCAAUGGUCCCCCGCCCCUGUGC